rnacentral:rRNA from 1 species
GCUACUGCCAUCAGAGUUCGAUUAAGCCAUGUUUGUCGAGGGUGCUUCUUCUUCGGAAGAAGUAACCCGGCGGACGGCUCAGUAACACGUGGAUAACUUGCCCUUGGGUCCGGGAUAACCCCUGAGAAAUUGGGGACAAUACCGGAUAGGGCAUCGAUUGCUGGAAUGCACGAUGUCCAAAAGCUGAGGCGCCCAAGGAUAGGUCUGCGGCCGAUUAGGUUGUUGUUGAUGUAAUGGAUCAACAAGCCUGCAAUCGGUACGGGUUGUGAGAGCAAGAGCCCGGAGAUGGGUUCUGAGAAAAGAACCCAGGUCCUACGGGACGCAUCAGGCGCGAAAACUUUACAAUGUGCGAAAGCACGAUAAGGGAACUCUGAGUGCCUCCUAUGGAGGCUGUUCAGGUGUCUAAAAAGCACUUGAAGUAAGGGCUGGGUAAGACCGGUGCCAGCCGCCGCGGUAACACCGGCAGCCCAAGUGGUAGCCACGCUUAUUGGGUCUAAAGCGUCCGUAGCCGGCCAAGUAAGUUCUUUGGGAAAUUUAACCGCUCAACGGUUAAGCUUUCAGGGAAUACUGCUUGGCUUGGGACCGGGAGAGGUCAGAGGUACUUCAAGGGUAGGGGUGAAAUCCGUUAAUCCUCGAGGGAUCACCCGUAGCGAAGGCGUCUGACCAGACCGGGUCCGACGGUGAGGGACGAAGGCUAGGGUCGCGAACCGGAUUAGAUACCCGGGUAGUCCUAGCUGUAAACGAUGCGGGCCAGGUGUUGGCAUUACUGCGAGUGAUGUCAGUGCCGAAGGGAAGCCGUUAAGCCCGCCA